CGUGCUAGGCGGGGAGUUAGCGGUGCCCUCAACUCGUAAUCCGCUCCAACGGGGCUUAAUUCCAAUCCGAGGGCUGCCUAAGUCUUCCUCUGUUUAGAGUGAUGCGUAUUGAGAGCUGGGUCCUGCGCGGCGGAAGCCUGUGAACCCCGUCAGGUUCGAAAGAAAGCAGCGGUAAGCAGUUCCUUUCGGGUGCCGCAGGAGCACCUGGUUUGAGCGUAUUUCUUUGUACAUGUUGAUUUGACAGUUCGACGAGAGGUGCACG
rnacentral:SRP_RNA from 1 species